UACGUAGGGAGCAAGCGUUGUCCGGAAUCAUUGGGCGUAAAGCGCGCGUAGGUGGCCCCAUAAGUCCGCUGUGAAAGUCAAAGGCUCAACCUUUGAAAGCCGGUGGAUACUGUGGGACUAGAGUACGGAAGAGGCGAGUGGAAUUCCUGGUGUAGCGGUGGAAUGCGCAGAUAUCAGGAGGAACACCAUAGCGAAGGCAGCUCGCUGGGACGUUACUGACACUGAGGCGCGAAAGCGUGGGGAGCGAACAGG
rnacentral:rRNA from 1 species